UGGGGACCAGGCUGGGUUAGUGUUUUUCCAGGUCUAUCCACCAGAGGGCACCUUGUGGCUGUUUUUUCCCAGAGGUUGGACCAACAGGUCUUGGUUGACACACCUGCAAGAAAUGAUCAUCACCGUGAGGAGUAUAUGAGCAGCAGGCGGCCAGUUCCUCCUCGCCAGAGUGUUUGCCAGCAGUGGUUGUUGCAUCGGAACCGUUCGAGUUACCGGAGUCUUGGAAGAAUCCUCUCGUGCCGCUGCUGCACCGUUUCCUCUCGGUCUUGUGAGUUAGACCACCCUGUCCGCCCUCCAGCCCUGUGAACCACCUGAGCAGCCCACAACCUGGAAAUUGCCUUGCCUACCUGGCUCCGCUUGCCUCUCCCCACUCGCUCUCCAGCCACUACAAGUAAGAACUCACGGAGUUCCCUUAGAACUGAAGUUUCCCAUCCGCAUUUGAACUCACCAUUGCUCUCUACCUGUGUGCAGUAAUUCCCGGAUCCUGGACCGAAGAAAGAAUAAACUCCAACUAUCUUUUUUCUUUUGUCAGAGCUGUAAAUAAACCUUUUGACUAAA